rnacentral:lncRNA from 12 species
UGACAUUUGAUAUCUAAGAGGGACCUCAGUCCAGUCCUCCUGGCCAGCAUCUGCAGUGUGACAGACCCGCACUGAGCAGUGGGAGAUGUGCCCAUGUGAGAGAACAUGGACAUGCAUCUCCAGAAGCUCAGUGAGGGUCUGGUGCAGCCUCUCCCUGGGAGCAGUGAAGAAAAA